CUACGGGUCGCAGCAGUGAGGAAUAUUGCACAAUGGGCGCAAGCCUGAUGCAGCCAUGCCGCGUGUAUGAAGAAGGCCCUCGGGUUGUAAAGUACUUUCAGCGGGGAGGAAGGGAGUAAAGUUAAUACCUUUGCUCAUUGACGUUACCCGCAGAAGAAGCACCGGCUAACUCCGUGCCAGCAGCCGCGGUAAUACGGAGGGUGCAAGCGUUAAUCGGAAUUACUGGGCGUAAAGCGCACGCAGGCGGUUUGUUAAGUCAGAUGUGAAAUCCCCGGGCUCAACCUGGGAACUGCAUCUGAUACUGGCAAGCUUGAGUCUCGUAGAGGGGGGUAGAAUUCCAGGUGUAGCGGUGAAAUGCGUAGAGAUCUGGAGGAAUACCGGUGGCGAAGGCGGCCCCCUGGACGAAGACUGACGCUCAGGUGCGAAGGCGUGGGGAGCAAACAGGAUUAGAUACCCGUGUAGUC
rnacentral:rRNA from 1 species